GAGGUCCGCGGGGCUGGCCCGGGGGCCGGGAGCCGGAGUGGAACUGCCAUGCGUCCGAGCUGAGGUGCCUCGGGACCCGGGUGCAACUGCAGAUGGGAGCGCGCAGUGCUAAGGAUGCGGACACCCAGCAGGGAGCUCUUCCGGGAUGCCGUCUUCCCCGCCUCGGACGCGUCGGUGUUCUCCGGCCUCUCCACGCCGCUGGCGCAGUUCCGCGGAGACAUCACGUGGCGGCGGCCGCAGGAGAUAUGUGCCGCACCUCAACUGUUCGCAGACACCCCGCAAGAGGGACAGGUGAAGCAGGGCCUGCUGGGGGACUGUUGGUUCCUGUGCGCCUGUGCAGCUCUCAGCCGGAACUGCCGCCUCCUGUACCAGGUCUUCCCAGCCGACCAGCCAUGCUGGCUGGACGCCGAGUACCGGGGCGCCUUCACCUGCCGGAUAUGGCGGUUCGGGCAAUGGGCAGAGGUGACUGUGGAUGACCGGCUGCCGUGCCUGGCGGGGCGACUGUGCUUCUCACGUUGCCACAAGGAGGAUGUAUUCUGGCUGCCCCUGCUGGAGAAAGCCUAUGCCAAGGUCUACGGGAGCUACGAGCAUCUGUGGGCAGGCCAGGUGGCUGAAGCCCUGGUAGACCUGACGGGGGGACUGGCAGAGCGGUGGAGCCUGAAAGAGCACCCGGAGCCCCCGGAGCCCCGGACCUGCCAGCGGCUGCUGGGCCUGCAGGACCGAUGCCCCAUCAGCUGCUCCGUGUUCAGCCCCAGGGCCGGAACCAGGGAACUGGGGGAAUUUCACGCCUUCAUUGUCUCGAGUCUGCGAGAGCUCCAGGACCUGGCGGGCCAGAGCCUGCUGCUGCUACGGAUUCAUAACCCUUGGGGCCGCAGGUGUUGGCAGGGACCUUGGAGGGAGGGGGGCGAAGGGUGGAGCCGCGUGACCCCGGCUGAAGCCUGUUCGCUGCUGGGCCAGCUGCAGGCGGGUGAGUUCUGGGUGGAGGAGACGGAGUUUCUCCGGGAGUUCGACGAGGUCACCGUGGGCUUCCCGCUCUCAGAGUCAGGCCACCUGCAGAGCCUCUGCUCAGGACAGGAGCUGUGCCACACGCAGCAGCUGCCAGGGGCAUGGGUCCGGGGGCAGUCAGCUGGAGGCUGCCGAAACCACAGCGGCUUCCCCAGCAACCCCAAGUUCUGGCUGCGAGUGUCGGAGCCCAGCGAGGUGUAUGUGGCCCUACUGCAGCAGCCAGGACUGAGGACAGCGGGUGAGGACUCCAUGAGCACAGUCCAGGGUGCAGGCAGCACCCAGCAGGCAGUGGGCCUGCACAUCUGGAAGGUGGAGAAGCAGCGGAUCAGCCUGCCCAGAGUCCUGUCUGCGCCCCCCGUGGCAGGUACAGUCUGCCAUGCAUAUGACCGGGAAGUGCACCUGCGCUGUGAGCUGUCCCCUGGGUACUACUUGGCUGUGCCCAGCACCUUCCUGAAGGAUGUGCCCGGGCGCUUCCUGCUGCGUGUCUUCUCCACUGGGAGGGUGACCCUCAGCGCCAUCAAGCUGGCCCCACAGAGCCAGGAUUACAGCGCUGAAGUGCCGGCUGGGGACUGGGAGACGGUGCAGCUGCCUGGCUCCUGGCAGCGUGGUGUGUCAGCAGGCGGCAGCCGGAACUUCGCCUCGUACCCCAGCAACCCCUGCUUCCCACUGCUGCUGCCCGGCCCGGCACCGCGCUGCGUUCGCAUCUCCCUGCGCCAGCACUGCGGGGGCGGCCCGUGCCACCCUAUUGGCUUCCACGUGUUCCAGGCGAGCCCGGGGACGAGAUGGUGGGACAAUCCCAGAGGACACCAAAGACCCAGGCCAAGCACCGCAGCCGCUGCAGGAGCCCGUGCUGAGCUGUGUCCCGCACUGCCCUGCCCCCGAAGUGAGCAGACUCUGCCAUCUGGCCGCAGGCGCCUACCGGGUGGUACCCUCCACAUAUCUACCUGACACCGAGGGCUCCUUCACGCUGCUCAUUGCCACCAGGACCGACAGGUGCUCCAGCCCCGGCCGCACCCCCAGGCCCUCCAUCCACAGCCGCGAGCUACUGGGCCAGCCCCUGACCGAGGCCUCCUUCCUGGCGGUAAUGAAGAAAGGACCCUGACAUGCUCUUCCGCCUGGGCACUGGUGCUCCCCUGAGCCGAGGAGAGGAGGGAAGAGAAGAGAGAAGAAGAGGGAGGCCAGGCCAGGCAGGCACCCCAGCCAGUAGCCAGAGCCCAGUGAGGACCGGGCCUUGUGGUGCCCCCAACAGGGACUUUCUCAAUAAAGAGCAGCUUGCAGUCCU